rnacentral:misc_RNA from 1 species
CAAAAAAAAAAAAAAGAGGACAAAGCGUUCACCCAAAAAACACUAUUCUUUAAAUAAAAAAAAUCCUAAAAGGAGGAAAACUCAAGGAAUGAGGAUAAAAAUACUCUACUUUAUUGAGGGAGAAAAAACUGUUGAUAAGGGAAUUUAUCAUUGGUAAAAGGAAUGGUGGAAGCCCAAAAUAGCCACAAAGGGGAAAAGAAGAAGAAGAAGGAAUAGAGAGAGAGAGAGAGA